UACGUAGGGUGCAAGCGUUGUCCGGAAUUAUUGGGCGUAAAGAGCGUGUAGGCGGCCCGAUAAGUCCGCCGUGAAAGUCCAGGGCUCAACCCUGGGAUGCCGGUGGAAACUGUCGGGCUAGAGUCCGGAAGAGGCGAGUGGGAAUUCCUGGUGUAGCGGUGAAAUGCGCAGAUAUCAGGAGGAACACCAAUGGCGAAGGCAGCUCGCUGGGACGGUACUGACGCUGAGACGCGAAAGCGUGGGGAGCAAACAGG
rnacentral:rRNA from 1 species